GAGAGGGAAAGGAAAGCAGGUAAGGCAAACACACUAGGUAAACGGAGUAGGGUCGGGAGAUCGGGAAGACAAGAGACUAGUAAACGCUUGGUACGGCACGCAAUCAUUUGCAAUGUGCUGAGAAAAUACCUCCCAUACAUUGGAUCCCUAUCUACGGUUUAUGGGGUCCCUCCUCUUCGGAUUAUAGUCACUCACACAGCUGAAUCACUGAAGCUACUUUUACAAAAGAACCUCAAAGAUGCCCAUUAAGUUUUUCUCACUCAACCUAAAAAUAUAUAUAUAUAUUUUUUAAAUAUCCGUAGUCUUGGUUUUUGGAAGAAAUUUGUACUUUGUGUUUAUCUUUAUAAAUGCAAAUUAUUAAAUGUUUUCAUUUAUUCAGUUUUAUUACUUCUACCUGAGAUGAUUAUGGAAUUAGAGCUACCCAUUGUAAACGCAGCUCUGCAAAGUCAAUGGAACUGCAAGGAUAUAGUUUAUUUUUGUUCGCCUUCACCUUUGACGUCACACACCCUCUUUUUGAUGCCGUGUACUUCAUAGGGACCCCAUGCUGACUUGGUUACUUUUGUUGUGUUUUCAGACUCAAUGUACUGUCUUAGAUUGUGCUCCCACCUUUGUCCUGCAUGUUUGUUUUUCUAUAAUACAAACAUAACAGGGGACAUUUUAAUGAAUGUGUGCUUAUAAAAACACUGUUUUAAUGUAAGAAUAUAACACAAUAUAACUUUUUCCAACCACUAAUUCCAAAGAAUAUUGUCCCCUCAUAAUCAUAAAGUACGGUUUUAAUCAGGAGCAGGGUAAGAUUUUACUCGUGGGAGAACAAGUAACUUAGUGGAAAUCAUAAACAAU